rnacentral:piRNA from 1 species
UACACCUUAUUCUGUGUGCUUCCUAGGUAC